rnacentral:lncRNA from 1 species
GAAUUUUGUUUUUGAAGAGUGAAUCGUGGAUAUUAUGAAGAGAAAAGGUGUUAAGAGGUUAUACAUGAUGUGUGUGCGGAGUGAAAGAGAGUAUAAGUGGUGGAUUGAGGCCGCAAGUUAUUUGGGAGUGCGGAAGAAGGUGGUGAAAACGUUGAUGGUUGGUAUGGUGUUACACAUAUGAUGCAGGUUGUUGGAAAAGUGAGGACGAAGGUGGAACAAUAUGCAUUUUUGGAUGGUGACAAGAGAGGGGUCCAAGUGAAAUG